rnacentral:misc_RNA from 1 species
CCUACGACACAUACACACAACACAAACGCACAUGCAGAAACAAACUCACACCAACUAGUGCUCGAGUACCCACCCGCGUUUACGUUUACGGAUAAACAGCCGGUGCUGGGUGUACAUGUACGCCGCUAGCUAGCGUAACGUCAGUUUGGAUAUAACCAUAACUUUUACACUCGACUCAGAUGGCAAACGGGUGUCUAAGAAAGAUCGCGACUAGAGACAUGUUAGUCGGAAUGGGGCAUGAGGACUAUCAUUGCAGUGUUUGCCACAAAUGGCUGGACCAGGAACCAAGGAUGUGUAGUGACAAACGCACUUGUUACUACUGCUACAUGGAGAUUCAGAUCAAAAGACCAGAAAAGUGCCCAGUCUGCGAAGAAACGUUUGAACCUGAUGAACACUUUGUCAAGGACAAACGAGCAGCAAAAGAUAUGAAAAGAUCCACAGCAAAGUGCUGCACCUGUGGGCGUGAGAUGGCCAUGUCAGCCUUGAGGGAACACCAGGAGGAAUGUGGUGGAGUGGAAAGCCUACCCCAACAGAUAGAUGAACGUGGCCCACCUGAGGAUCACUGCCCAACUCAGAUGCAUGUAGAUGAACAAGACCCACCUGAGGAUCCAGCCCAGAUGCAUGCAGAUGAACAUGACCCACCUGAGGAUCCAGCCCAGGAGGAAGGGAAGGGAAGCAAUGAACCCAUCAUCAGCUGCCUGUACAAGAUGUUUGGAUGUGAUUUUCAGCAGAACCUCAUAGACAAAUCAAAAGAACAAAAGGUCACACCUGUGUUUGGAUACAACUUCAGGCCCACCCACAGUAUUGAGUACAAACUUUCCUUGCAAGGAACACAACAUUUGUAACUUGGUAACUGGUGGUAUGGUGAGCCUAAGGGUGUGACGUUUAUAGGUUUAAACGAAAAUAAAAGGGCACUGAAAUUGAAGUAGCUUAUCAUGAGGGGAUUGUUCCCCGACCAGAUAAGUGCUUU